GACGUAGGGCGCGAGCGUUGUCCGGAUUUAUUGGGCGUAAAGAGCUCGUAGGCGGCUUGUUGCGUCGGCUGUGAAAACCCGAGGCUCAACCUCGGGCCUGCAGCCGAUACGGGCAGACUAGAGUUCGGCAGGGGGAGACUGGAAUUCCUGGUGUAGCGGUGAAAUGCGCAGAUAUCAGGAGGAACACCGAUGGCGAAGGCAGGUCUCUGGGCCGCAACUGACGC
rnacentral:rRNA from 1 species